CCUACGGGUGGCAGCAGUGAGGAAUAUUGGUCAAUGGCCGGAAGGCUGAACCAGCCAUGCCGCGUGAAGGUCAGUGCCCUAUGGGCGUUAAACUUCUUUUGUGCGGGAGCAAUAAUGGUCACGUGUGGCCAGACGAGAGUACCGUACGAAUAAGCAUCGGCUAACUCCGUGCCAGCAGCCGCGGUAAUACGGGGGAUGCAAGCGUUAUCCGGAUUUAUUGGGGUUAAAGGGUGCGUAGGCUGUGAGGUAAGUCAGCGGUGAAAUGCCCCCACUCAACGGGGUGAAGUGCCAUUGAUACUGCCUUGCUGGAAUGCGGAUGCCGUGGGAGGAAUGUGUGGUGGAGCGGUGAAAUGCAUAGAUAUCACACAGAACACCGAUUGCGAAGGCAUCUCACGAAUCCGCGAUUGACGCUGAUGCACGAAAGCGUGGGUAUCAAACAGGAUUAGAUACCCCUGUAGUC
rnacentral:rRNA from 1 species